GCCUUCGUAGUGUAGUGGUCAGCAUGCUAGACGCGUAACCGAGAGUUCCUGUUUCGAUUCCCGGCGAGGGCA
rnacentral:tRNA from 1 species